rnacentral:rRNA from 1 species
GACGAACGCUGGCGGCGUGCUUAACACAUGCAAGUCGAACGAUGAAGCCUUUCGGGGUGGAUUAGUGGCGAACGGGUGAGUAACACGUGGGUGACCUGCCCUCAGCUCUGGGAUAAGCCUGGGAAACUGGGUCCAAUACUGGAUAUGACUCCACGGUGCAUGUCGUGGGGUGGAAAGCCUUGUGCGGCUGAGGAUGGGCCCGCGGCCUAUCAGCUUGUUGGUGGGGUGAUGGCCUACCAAGGCGACGACGGGUAGCCGGCCUGAGAGGGCGACCGGCCACACUGGGACUGAGACACGGCCCAGACUCCUACGGGAGGCAGCAGUGGGGAAUCUUGCGCAAUGGGCGAAAGCCUGACGCAGCGACGCCGCGUGAGGGAUGACGGCCUCGGUGUAACGUACUU